CAUGCAGUCGAGCGGAACGAUACCAGCUUGCUGGUAGGCGUCGAGCGGCGGACGGGUGAGUAAUACUUAGGAAUCUACCUAGUAGUGGGGGAUAGCUCGGGGAAACUCGAAUUAAUACCGCAUACGACCUACGGGAGAAAGGGGGCAGUUUACUGCUCUCGCUAUUAGAUGAGCCUAAGUCGGAUUAGCUAGAUGGUGGGGUAAAGGCCUACCAUGGCGACGAUCUGUAGCUGGUCUGAGAGGAUGAUCAGCCACACCGGGACUGAGACACGGCCCGGACUCCUACGGGAGGCAGCAGUGGGGAAUAUUGGACAAUGGGGGAAACCCUGUUCCAGCCAUGCCGCGUGUGUGAAGAAGGCCUUUUGGUUGUAAAGCACUUUAAGCAGUGAAGAAGACUCCUCGGUUAAUACCCGUGGACGAUGACAUUAGCUGCAGAAUAAGCACCGGCUAACUCUGUGCCAGCAGCCGCGGUAAUACAGAGGGUGCAAGCGUUAAUCGGAAUUACUGGGCGUAAAGCGAGCGUAGGUGGCUUGAUAAGUCA
rnacentral:rRNA from 1 species